GAUUAACGCUGGCGGCGUGCCUAACACAUGCAAGUCGAGCGGCAGCGAGUUUUACACUGAAUUCUGGAAGCUUCUAGUUGAAAGAGAAGAUUUAUUCAAGAAUUUUGUGUAAAAUGUCGGCGAGCGGCGGACGGCUGAGUAACGCGUGGGAACGUACCCCAAAGUGAGGGAUAACGCAUCGAAAGGUGUGCUAAUACCGCAUAUGGUCUUCGGAUUAAAGCCUUCGGGCGCUUUGGGAACGGCCUGCGUAAGAUUAGAUAGUUUGUGGGGUAAUGGCCUACCAAGUCGACGAUCUUUAACUGGUUUGAGAGGAUGAUCAGUCAGACUGGAACUGAGACACGGUCCAGACUCCUACGGGAGGCAGCAGUGAGGAAUCUUCCACAAUGGGCGAAAGCCUGAUGGAGCAACGCCGCGUGCAGGAUGAAGGCCUUCGGGUUGUAAACUGCUUUUAUAAGUGAGGAUUAUGACAGUAACUUAUGAAUAAGGAUCGGCUAACUACGUG
rnacentral:rRNA from 1 species